rnacentral:rRNA from 1 species
AUAAUACCAACGGCGUAAAGCACGACCAACUAAACAGUACAACUAUUAAGAAAGAAGCUAAACCGGGCUGUAAAAAGCCAUAAGCCACACUAACUCACCCCCUAAUACAAAUACACCCCCACUCGUGAAAGCUAGGAUACAAACUAAGAUUAGAUACCUUACUAUGCCUAACCAUAACACAACAAUUAAACCACCAAUUGUUCGCCAAAUAACUACGAGUAAAAACUUAAAAUUUAAAAGACUUGACGGUAUCUCACAACAGCCUAGAGGAGCCUGUCCAAUAACCGAUACCCCGCGAUUAACCCAACCCCCUCUAGCCUAACAGUCUAUAUACCGCCGUCGCCAGCCUACCUUAUGAAAGAAACAAAGUGAGCAAAAUAGUCAUUACUAACACGACAGGUCGAGGUGUAACUCAUGAAGGGGUUAAGAUGGGCUACAUUUUCUAACACAGAAAACACGAACAAACUAUGAAACAAGAAACCGAAGGCGGAUUUAGCAGUAUAAUAAGGACAAAACACUUAAUCGAAACUAACGCAAUGAGAUGCGUACACACCGCCCGUCAUCCCUGUUAAAUAACCAAUAACAUCCAUAAA